rnacentral:rRNA from 1 species
GAUGAACGCUAGCGGCAGGCUUAAUACAUGCAAGUCGAGGGGUAGCAAGAUUGUAGCAAUACAAUUGUUGACGACCGGCAAACGGGUGCGGAACACGUACACAACCUUCCUACAAGUGGGGAAUAGCCCAGAGAAAUUUGGAUUAAUACCCCGUAACAUAGCGAUGUGGCAUCACAUUGCUAUUAUAGCUUCGGCGCUUGUUGAUGGGUGUGCGGCUGAUUAGAUAGUUGGCGGGGUAACGGCCCACCAAGUCUACGAUCAGUAGCUGAUGUGAGAGCAUGAUCAGCCACAAGGGAACUGAGACACGGGCCCGACUCCUACGGGAGGCAGCAGUAAGGAAUAUUGGACAAUGGACGCAAGUCUGAUCCAGCCAUGCCGCGUGAAGGAUUAAGGUCCUCUGGAUUGUAAACUUCUUUUAUAAGGGACGAAAAAAGGUCUUUCUAGAUCGUCUGACGGUACCUUAUGAAUAAGCACCGGCUAACUCCGUGCCAGCAGCCGCGGUAAAAC